GCGGGCGUCGUAUAAUGGCAAUACCCUUGCUUCCCAUGCAAGAGCCGACGGUUCGAUUCCGUUCGCCCGCUCCA
rnacentral:tRNA from 2 species